rnacentral:rRNA from 1 species
GACGAACGCUGGCGGCGUGCCUAAUACAUGCAUCGGCGACGAGUGGCGGACGGGUGAGUAAUGUCCGGGAAACUGCCCGACGGAGGGGGAUAACUACUGGAAACGGUAGCUAAUACCGCAUACCUUCGGAUGUUCCCUGAUGGAAUUAGCCAGUAGGUGGGGUAACGGCUAACCAAGGCAACGAUCCCUAGCUGAUAUGAGAGGAUGACCAGCCACACUGGGACUGAGACACGGACCAGACUCCUCCGGGAGGGAGCAGUGGGGAAUAGUGCACAAUGGGCGCAAGCCUGAUGCAGCCAUGCCGCGUGUAUGAAGAAGGCCUUCGGGUUGUAAAGUACUUUCAGCAAGGAAGCGGUACUCGCAGAAGAAGCACCGGCUAACUCCGUGCCAGCAGCCGCGGUAAUAC